UUCACACAAAGAAGAUUUUGAAAAUGGAGGGAGAAAUUUUGAAAUUAAAGAAAUGGGGAGAAGAUGAAGAGACUACCCUAUGCACAAAAUUAAAAGUUUAGAGUUGAAAAGAUCUGACCAAAUGAGUAGCAAUCCAAUAGACAAAAAUGUCACUAUAAACCCAGAAUUCCCUUAGACUUUUUAGAAUCAAGCAACACACAAAUGCACAAUUAUAUUCUCUUGAAGAGCAAGGCAUCAAAUAAAGAUGACCUCAUCCAAGCUUAUCCAUUCCAUGAUCU
rnacentral:lncRNA from 1 species